GACGAACGCUGGCGGCGUGCUUAACGCAUGCAAGUCGAACGGAAAGGCCCUGCUUUUGUGGGGUGCUCGAGUGGCGAACGGGUGAGUAACACGUGAGUAACCUGCCCUUGACUUUGGGAUAACUUCAGGAAACUGGGGCUAAUACCGGAUAGGAGCUCCUGCUGCAUGGUGGGGGGUGGAAAGUUUCGGCGGUUGGGGAUGGACUCGCGGCUUAUCCGCUUGUUGGUGGGGUAGUGGCUUACCAAGGCUUUGAGGGGUAGCCGGCCUGAGAGGGUGACCGGCAACAUGGGGACUGAGAUACGCCCCGAACUCUUACGGGAGGCAGCAGUGGGGAAUAUGGAACAAGGGGCGGAAGCCUGUGGCAGGAACGCCGCGUGCGGAAUGACGGCUUUCGGGUGGUAAACCGCUUUCGCAUGGGACGAAGCGUGAGUGACGGUAAUGGGUAAAGAAGCACCGGCUAACUACGUG
rnacentral:rRNA from 1 species